rnacentral:tRNA from 1 species
GCCUGUGUGGCUCAGUUGUUAAGCAACUGACUUCAGCUCAGGUCACGAUCUCCCAGUUCGUGGGUUCGAGCCCCAUGUCGGGCU